rnacentral:lncRNA from 1 species
GCCCCCUUGCCGGCCCUCUGCUACUGGUGAGCACCGGCUCCGGCGGUCCGGCGUCCUCUGCGGCUGAUUUUUUCCUUUUUUUAGCUUUUUACCUACUGUUAGUGCUUGGAUAAUGACUCAAUUUGAUAUAUACCUACUUAUAGUGCUUGGAUAUGUACGUAUUGUUAGUUCUUUUUAGUUUUUUACCUACUGUUAGUGCUUGGAUAUAUAAAAAAGUCAAUUUGGUGCUUCGAUAUAUAUACUGUUAGUGCUUGGAUAUUUUACGUUGUUCUUCCUGAAUGUCGAAUGCAAGGAAUAGCACUACAGCAGCUUUAGUUUUUCAUCACGAAAAAGUAAUGAAAUAUGGUGUGGUGCGUGCACAGGAGAAGGGACUAGAGAGCAUUAGCAAGACCCAAAUUUUACAUCGAUUUGGACCUCCUAUUAGUCACAGUAGUUUACUUGCUUGGAGUUUUCAUUAUGGCUGUCUCCCAAUAUACAAAUGUACCGAGUUUGAUUACCAUGUUAAGAUUACUUAUAUAAUAUAUAAUGAUAUGUAUACUUCCACGGCGAUGAGAUGAUAUAUAUACUUUUGGCACGGUGGAUUAGCAUUUUUUGUUGUGUCACGUCUUCGUGAUGAGUGGUUUUUUGUUCAUGAUGAUCUUGCUACAAAAUAAUGAUGAAAUAUUUUUUGACACUUCAUGGUCUUGCUAAAAAAUCUAUGAAGGCAUCUAGUAAAUAAAUCUAUGAAGGCAUUGGUCCGUGAUCUAAGCUUUUGACACUUGAUGAUCUAAGUUUUUUUGUCGGUAAAAUUUACAGGCUUUCUGGUGUUGCAUAUCUUUGGAGUCAUCGUCGUCGAAGGCAUUGGUCUGUGAUUUCGUCGCUGUUUGACUACUUCGUCUACAGUCGAGGGUGAGCUACAAAUCCAUCUUAAUAAUCAUGUCACUAGAUUUUCUUUUCUCGUCAAGUCGCGUAACCUAGGCGUCUCUCGUCCGAAAUGGUUG